AUCAACGGAAAGCUUUUGGCUAGGGUUUGGUUAGGGUUUGGACUUCCCGCUUUCUUGUUCUUUUGAUGGGGUUUAGAACCCUUUUUCUUCUGUUUUUCUUGGAGAUAAUGAGGUUCUUUUUUGAUGGAAGACUGAUAAGCAGCUGAGGGUUUUCAGGUGAAAAGCUGAGGCUGGAGAAAGAGCAAGAGUUCUUGUGAUCUAUGUGAUAUAUAUGUAUAUAUAUAGUUCUUGUCUGCUGUCUUGUUGUAAUUUAUAGUGAAAGUUCUGUUGUAAUCUAUUGUAAAGAAAAUCAAGUGUAGAUUGACUUUGAAUAUUCUUGCAAG
rnacentral:miRNA from 1 species